CAUGGAGGUCACAGCUCUCUGCUUCACACUGUUGAUGCUUGAAUUCACCCUGCUGAACAGUUAUACUCCGAAAAGUGAUGCAGCUUUUCUUCGCAUCACUCCAGACCAACUGCAGCAUUUUCAAUACGAGUCCGUCUCUUUUCAUUGUGACGGGACUGCUAAUCCCCCUCAAUUGAGGGUGAUCAGGAAUACUCAAGAAUAUGAUCUGGAAUGUGAUAUUAAGAGGACGCCAACU